CCUGCCCUUAGAGGUGUUGCGGAUGUGGUCGUGUGUCACAUAUGCAUCGGUAGGUGGCAGAGAGGAGGGAGGCUAUGCCUCUGCUCAGUGUUCUGACCUGAAUUAUUCUGAACAUCUGUAAUGAUUAAUAACAAA